GUACUACUCCCUCCGUCCGAAAAUACUUGUCGGAGAAAUGAAUAAAAAUGGACGUAUCUUAAAACUAAAAUAUGUCUAGAUACAUCCAUUCCUCCCACAAGUAUUUCCGGACGGAGGGAGUAUAAG
rfam:Triticum aestivum genome assembly, contig: Triticum_aestivum_CS42_TGACv1_scaffold_622199_7DS